GCUCAUGGCUCAGUGCUUGUGUGUUAGGCUUAAAACCAAGGGGUCUCUGGUUCGAAUCCAGGUUAAGACA